UCUUUAGGAGGAUCUAAACAACUGCUAGUGACCUAGGAACUGCCUGAACUGUUAGACUUCUUCAGUAGUUGGAUCUGGGGUGGAACUGCUUUCCCACUGCAAAGGACAAUACUGAGGUGUAUCUACCAAUAAGAGUGUAAACAACAGAAGUUUGACUGUUUUUAUAACCACUGGGACACCUGACUAUGAAAUGUAUAUUCUGGGCUAAAAUAAGACCCUGAUCCUGCAGUCUCCUACAUAAAAAAAUGAUGCAUUUCUUUAUUGGGAAAAGAAAAUGCCCAUGAAGGAUGACUUGUAUUUUCUCAGGAGGGUGAUGUCACUUGUGCGAACAGGCUCCUGCCAUUUCCAUAUCAUCACUGGAAGCUGAGGCCGUAUUUCUGCUGGGGGACCAUGUAAAGCAAGACAUUGCAGCACGUACUGCCCAGCUGGACCUGGGUGGUGGCCCCCUGCAGCCCACUGAUUCGCCCAUGCUGAUAUAUAAGCCAGGAAGUAAUCACAGAGAGCUGCCUGAGCAAUGAUGUAGACUGCUUGCUUGGGUCUGUUCCAGACCUUGACUUGUUGUGAACCCCAGACUCCAGCUUCUGAUCCCAGUUUGCCCCUGCCACCUGCCUGUAACUCAGUGCCAGAAUUCCUGGUAUUGUGACCCAGCUCAACGCUGACUCUGGUGCUCAUAUCCUGACCACAACAUGGUAACUGACCCAUACACACAGGCCACCCACUACCCAGCCCUGACACAGAGGCCCAAAGUGGUGAAGUGACUAAUUCUGCCAUUGGUCACAGAAGCCCUACAACCUAAAAACAAAACCAGUGCAUUAUAAGAUGCAGUACAUGGCACAAACUCACUUGUAGCCAUAACCUAAAGUACUGUAUUAUUUCAGGCUUAUUGAAUAGUAACUUGAACUUGACUAAAUAGAAAACACAUUUUUCAUUUACAUCUCCAGCAUAAUUUAACAUUGUCAUUAACUUAUGUCUAAAUAUCACUGCAUCGGUACCAAUAAUGCUAAGUUAAUGAUAAUUCGUAUUUUAACAACUGUUAAAAUGUCAUGUUAUUUAAGUCUUGAAGCCAGGAAUUUGGUAUAUCUUCCUACUCCAUUAAGCAGCAAAUAUCUUUAAUGGACCAUUGUGAUAGUUGCUAUCCUAACUGCUACAUAGCAGCAUAUCUGCAGAUUAGACCUUUGCCUGGCAUAAGUUAUGUUGCUGCUCUUAGCAUUUGUUUAAUGAUUAUUUAAAUUAUAGGGCAUCUAAUACUGAGCAUAUUUCUUCUACAAUAAAUUACAUGAAGAUACAGUGUCUCAAAACUACUCCAUAAAGACUUCCAGAGGAAGAACUAUGGAAAUUAACUCUAGAAGCCAUAUGGGAUCAAACAGGACAUUGUUAUUGGAGAGCGUACAUUUCAGUGCAAAAGACUGAAAAAGUCUUAAUUCAGCUAUUUCACCUGAUUACAUGGCAAACUCCACUCCCUGAAGUCUUCAGACAAUCAAACUACAUUUUUUUAAAAUAAUUUUCUUUUAAAAAAUUCUUAUGUUUACUUGUCCAAAGAAUCUGAAAUUCA